UACAGAGGUCCCAAGCGUUGUUCGGAUUCAUUGGGCGUAAAGGGUGCGUAGGCGGUCGCGCAAGUCGGAUGUGAAAUCUCAGGGCUCAACCCUGAAACUGCAUUCGAUACUGCGUGGCUAGAGUGCUGGAGGGGAGACUGGAAUUUACGGUGUAGCAGUGAAAUGCGUAGAUAUCGUAAGGAAGACCAGUGGCGAAGGCGAGUCUCUGGACAGCAACUGACGCUGAGGCACGAAGGCCAGGGGAGCAAACGGG
rnacentral:rRNA from 1 species